rnacentral:rRNA from 1 species
GUAGGUGGCAAGCGUUGUCCGGAAUUAUUGGGCGUAAAGCGCGCGCAGGCGGUUUUUUAAGUCUGAUGUGAAAGCCCACGGCUCAACCGUGGAGGGUCAUUGGAAACUGGAGAACUUGAGUACAGAAGAGGAAAGCGGAAUUCCACGUGUAGCGGUGAAAUGCGUAGAGAUGUGGAGGAACACCAGUGGCGAAGGCGGCUUUCUGGUCUGUAACUGACGCUGAGGCGCGAAAGCGUGGGGAGCAAACAGGGAUUAGAUACCCUGGUAGUCCACGCCGUAAACGAUGAGUGCUAAGUGUUAGGGGGUUUCCCGCCCCUUAGUGCUGCAGCUAACGCAUUAAGCACUCGCCUGGGGAGUACGGCCGCAAGGCUG